rnacentral:rRNA from 1 species
GUUGUAUGGUUAAGUGACUAAGCGUACACGGUGGAUGCCUUGGCAGUCUCAGGCGAUGAAAGACGUAGUAACUUGCGAUAAGCCCAGAUUAGGUAGUAACAACCAUUUGAGUCUGGGAUUUCUGAAUGGGGAAACCCACUUACAUAAGUAAGUAUCCUUACCUGAAUACAUAGGGUAAGGAGGCGAACCGGGGGAACUGAAACAUCUAAGUACCCCGAGGAAAAGAAAUCAACCGAGAUUCCGAAAGUAGCGGCGAGCGAAAUUGGACUAGCCCUUAA